GUUGACCUCGGAUCAGGUAGGAAUACCCGCUGAACUUAAGCAUAUCAAUAAGCGGAGGAAAAGAAACCAACAGGGAUUGCCCCAGUAACGGCGAGUGAAGCGGCAACAGCUCAAAUUUGAAAUCUGGCCCCCCGGGGCCCGAGUUGUAAUUUGCAGAGGAUGCUUUUGGCGCGGCGCCUUCCGAGUUCCCUGGAACGGGACGCCACAGAGGGUGAGAGCCCCGUCUGGUCGGACGCCAAGCCGGUGUAAAGCUCCUUCGACGAGUCGAGUAGUUUGGGAAUGCUGCUCUAAAUGGGAGGUAUAUGUCUUCUAAAGCUAAAUACCGGCCAGAGACCGAUAGCGCACAAGUAGAGUGAUCGAAAGAUGAAAAGCACUUUGAAAAGAGGGUUAAACAGUACGUGAAAUUGUUGAAAGGGAAGCGCUCGUGACCAGACUUGGGCCCGGCGAAUCACCCAGCGUUCUCGCUGGUGCACUUGGUCGGGCUCAGGCCAGCAUCAGUUCGCCGCGGGGGACAAAGGCUUCGGGAACGUGGCUCCCCCGGGAGUGUUAUAGCCCGUUGCGCAAUGCCCUGCGGCGGACUGAGGUUCGCGCUCCGCAAGGAUGCUGGCGUAAUGGUCACCAGCGACCCGUCUUGAAACACGGACCAAGGAGUCGUCUUCGUAUGCGAGUGUUCGGGUGUCAAACCCCUACGCGUAAUGAAAGUGAAGGCAGGUGAGAGCUUCGGCGCAUCAUCGACCGAUCCUGAUGUUCUCGGAUGGAUUUGAGUAAGAGCAUACGGGGCCGGACCCGAAAGAAGGUGAACUAUGCCUGUGUAGGGUGAAGCCAGAGGAAACUCUGGUGGAGGCUCGCAGCGGUUCUGACGUGCAAAUCGAUCGUCAAACAUGGGCAUGGGGGCGAAAGACUAAUCGAACCUUCUAGUAGCUGGUUUCCGCCGAAGUUUCCCUCAGGAUAGCAGUGUUGAA
rnacentral:rRNA from 1 species